rnacentral:rRNA from 1 species
UACGGAGGGUGCAAGCGUUAUCCGGAUUUACUGGGUUUAAAGGGUGCGUAGGUGGGUCUGUAAGUCAGUGGUGAAAUCUCCGGGCUUAACCCGGAAACUGCCAUUGAUACUAUAGGUCUUGAAUACUCUGGAGGUAAGCGGAAUAUGUCAUGUAGCGGUGAAAUGCUUAGAUAUGACAUAGAACACCAAUUGCGAAGGCAGCUGGCUACACGAGCAUUGACACUCAGGCACGAAAGCGUGGGGAUCAAACAGG